rnacentral:rRNA from 1 species
GACGUAGGUGGCGAACGUUAUCCGGAAUUAUUGGGCGUAAAGGGUGCGUAGGCGGCAUGAUAAGUUAUUGGCGGCAAAUCGAGGCUCAACCUCGUGGAAACUGAUAAUACUGUCUUGCUUGAGUGCAGAAGAGGUUAACGGAACUCCAUGUGGAGCGGUAAAAUGUGUAGAUAUAUGGAAGAACAUCAAUAACGGCGAAGGCAGUUAACUAUUCUGUUACUGACGUUGAGGCACGGAAAGCGUGGGGAGCAGAAAGG